rnacentral:rRNA from 1 species
UACGGGGGGGGCAAGCGUUGUUCGGAAUUACUGGGCGUAAAGGGCGCGUAGGCGGCCUGCUAAGUCGGACGUGAAAUCCCUCGGCUCAACCGGGGAACUGCGUCCGAUACUGGUGGGCUCGAAUCCGGGAGAGGGAUGCGGAAUUCCAGGUGUAGCGGUGAAAUGCGUAGAUAUCUGGAGGAACACCGGUGGCGAAGGCGGCAUCCUGGACCGGUAUUGACACUGAGGCGCGAAAGCCAGGGGAGCAAACGGG